rnacentral:rRNA from 1 species
ACUCAAAUGAAUUGACGGGGACCCGCACAAGCGGUGGAUGAUGUGGAUUAAUUCGAUGCAACGCGAAAAACCUUACCUACCCUUGACAUGUCCGGAAGCCCUUAGAGAUUUGGGUGUGCUCGAAAGAGAGCCGGAACACAGGUGCUGCAUGGCUGUCGUCAGCUCGUGUCGUGAGAUGUUGGGUUAAGUCCCGCAACGAGCGCAACCCUUGUCGUUAAUUGCCAUCAUUUAGUUGGGCACUUUAACGAGACUGCCGGUGACAAACCGGAGGAAGGUGGGGAUGACGUCAAGUCCUCAUGGCCCUUAUGGGUAGGGCUUCACACGUCAUACAAUGGUCGGUACAAAGGGUUGCCAACCCGCGAGGGGGAGCUAAUCCCAGAAAGCCGAUCGUAGUCCGGAUCGUAGGCUGCAACUCGCCUGCGUGAAGUCGGAAUCGCUAGUAAUCGUGGAUCAGCAUGUCACGGUGAAUACGUUCCCGGGUCUUGUACACACCGCCCGU